UACGUAGGGUGCAAGCGUUUGUCCGGAAUUAUUGGCGUAAAGAGCUCGUAGGCGGUCUGUCGCGUCUGCUGUGAAAACUCAGGGCUUAACCCUGAGCUUGCAGUGGGUACGGGCAGACUAGAGUGCGGUAGGGGAGACUGGAAUUCCUGGUGUAGCGGUGAAAUGCGCAGAUAUCAGGAGGAACACCGGUGGCGAAGGCGGGGUCUCUGGGCAACAACUGACGCUGGAGGAGCGAAAGCGUGGGGAGCGAACAGG
rnacentral:rRNA from 1 species